rnacentral:rRNA from 1 species
UGGGGAAUAUUGCACAAUGGGCGCAAGCCUGAUGCAGCCAUGCCGCGUGUAUGAAGAAUGCCUUCGGGUUGUAAAGUACUUUCAGCGGGGAGGAAGGCGAUAAGGUUAAUAACCUUGUCGAUUGACGUUACCCGCAGAAGAAGCACCGGCUAACUCCGUGCCAGCAGCCGCGGUAAUACGGAGGGUGCAAGCGUUAAUCGGAAUUACUGGGCGUAAAGCGCACGCAGGCGGUCUGUCAAGUCGGAUGUGAAAUCCCCGGGCUCAACCUGGGAACUGCAUUCGAAACUGGCAGGCUAGAGUCUUGUAGAGGGGGGUAGAAUUCCAGGUGUAGCGGUGAAAUGCGUAGAGAUCUGGAGGAAUACCGGUGGCGAAGGCGGCCCCCUGGACAAAGACUGACGCUCAGGUGCGAAAGCGUGGGGAGCAAACA